AGUCUUUAAGUAAUCGCCUCCUGGUGCGCUCAGUCUUUUUUCUUUUGUGGGCUUCUGGUUUUGCAGUAAUGCAAAACAAGGUGGACCCGCCUAUGGAGGCCAUUCCCUCGGCUGAUACUCCGUGGUGGUCUCGGAAGGGAAGGCGUGAGUAGUCCAAGGGGCCUCUCCACGCCAUCGACCUCUGGAGUAUGGGUUGAGCUGGCUAAGAUGUAAUUUCUCCCAUUAUCGGCAGGGGCACGUAUGCCACGCAAGCAGUAUGACCCUUGGUUGCUGGCAUUCAGAUCCAUGAAGCCGAAGGCACGUGUAGGGAGUAUAAGCAACAGAUUCUACUUAAACACAGGAAAGGGUCCUAACUUGCUUGUGGUACAAAGGUGAAGCUGUUCCAGACCCAGGAAACAAAGGAUUAUGUGGAUCAGUGAUCAAAUCAGGUGGCAAGCACUUGGAAGUUUUUUCCAUUCUUGGAUCCCUGUUUAUAUGCACAUGUUCUUAAAAUUAAUAAAAAGUCUUUUUUUUUCGUAAUAA